GGAGGGAACAGGAAGACUUCUUUGGCCAAACGUCUUGGAAGACCAAACGGCUUGUCUGGUCGGUUCCCGAGACCCAUGCUGCAAAGAACAGGCUUAUUCGGUGUAGAUCAAGGCGACUGAAUUCUCCUUCGGCGGUGCCUGCCCGUUCCGAGGACUUGAAUCCAACGAGUGAGCCUGCCUGCUUCCCGUGACACCAGCGUCACCGAUGUCGAGGAGAUGUUGAGGCCGCCAUUUCCAGCUGUCGUCAAUUUCAUCGCCUGGCCAAAGCAUAUGCCACUUUCAGCACGCAUUUUUUU